rnacentral:lncRNA from 12 species
CAAGCACCUAGGAGGGGCUCAAUUCAGAGCAGCUGAGUCUAAACCUAAAGUGGAAGGUGACUUUCAUUUACUCUGAAAGUGUGUUAGUGAUGAGUCCUUUUCUUUGGAAUCUCAAGCCCAAUAAAGAAUGGUAAGACCUAGCCUCUACUAGCGUGAAAACACAGAGCCAGGGACCUCUCGGCAGAGCUGCCUUCUCUGGAUACACCAACCUCCACAAAGGAAACACAAAGCCCUGCGAAUAGGUAUAAAAAUGAGCCAUUGUCGUGAGAAGGCGGGAGUUGCCACUUCCCGGAGGACAGCGAAAGAGAUUCGGUAAGGAGAGAGAUUGUACAGAAGCCCCCCAGUGUAGCACCUGAAAAUCCAGUACAGAUGAUUGCGAUCGUUAUGACAUAAACGGAAACUGAUUAUUCUCCAGGGCUGAUGCCCUGCCUGCCUCCUUCGGGGUCAGCUUCUCUCAGACGGAGAUGUUCCGGAAAGACGAGAAGCGCGCAGGGCAUCUGGAAAGGCUGUGAUCCUAAUGACCAAGGCGAUGGGGGCCACAGCUCGCUGAGAGCCCACCCUGUGCCAGACACACCUGGGCACCUGGCUGUCAUUGCCUCACUUGACCCUGCAAAGGGCCUGAGGACCUAAGAACGCCUCUCCC